GAACCAGCACGAAGAGGGAGGUUAGGUUUCCCACCUUGCUGGUUCAGACGGCGGCAGCGGACAUGUCCUGCUCCUCGCCUUCCCGGAGGCACAGGGCCACCUCAACCCCAUGCUGCAUCUCGGCCGCCGCCUCGCAUACCACGGCCUCCGCCCCAGGCUCGUCACCACGCGCCACCUCCUCGCCACCGUCCCGCCCCCUUUGCCCCCCUUCCGCAUCGCCGCCAUCUCCGACGGCUUCGACGAUGGCGGCAUGGCAGCCCUACGCGAUGGACGUCAUCUACGGGGAGGUCUACGCGGGCCGCGUCGGCCUGCCGGUCGUGGACGGGAGCGCGCUCCGGGGCAUGCUGAGCGUCGACCUGGGGCCGGAGGACGUGCCGUCGUUCGUGGCGGCGCCGUAGUCGUACUGUGUGUUCGAUGGGUUGGAGGACGCCGAAGACCUGUUCGUCAACUCGUUCCAUGAGCUCGAGACCAAGUCAGAAGUAUUGGCUCAUGCUGUGAAAGGUACUUCAAAUGUGCUAAAGGCUUGCUCGGCUAUGAAGGUUCAGAAGAUUUUGCUAUUCGCUGUUGCAAAGGAGUCCUCGAUAUUCCUGCCCAUCUUGAAGGAAACAGCAAAAUCAUUCAACGGAAAGCUUUUAUUUGUUUUUGUGGAGCGUGACAAUGAGGAAGUUGGUGAACGUGUUGCCAAUUACUUUGGAAUUACUGGACAAGAGACCACAGUAA